rnacentral:rRNA from 1 species
AACGAACGCUGGCGGCAUGCCUAACACAUGCAAGUCGAACGAGACCUUCGGGUCUAGUGGCGCACGGGUGCGUAACGCGUGGGAACCUGCCCUUAGGUUCGGAAUAACUCCCCGAAAGGGGUGCUAAUACCGGAUAAUGUCUUCGGACCAAAGAUUUAUCGCUUUUGGAUGGGCCCGCGUUGGAUUAGCUAGUUGGUAGGGUAAAAGCCUACCAAGGCGACGAUCCAUAGCUGGUCUGAGAGGAUGAUCAGCCACACUGGGACUGAGACACGGCCCAGACUCCUACGGGAGGCAGCAGUGGGGAAUAGUGGACAAUGGGCGAAAGGCUGAUCCAUCAAUGCCGCGUGAGUGAUGUAGUCCUUAGGGAUGUAAAGCGCUUUUACCCGGGAUGAUAAUGACAGUACCUGGAGAAUAAGCUCCGGCUAACUCCGUG